ACCGAGCUGGGUCCGUGGUUACUGAACGCUUUCACUGGCUGUCGGAGAGCUAGGGGAGACGGUGCCACAGGCGAGCGGAAUUUACUCGAAGAAGUACAGGAAAGAUGUGGACGUGUUGGAGCAGGUACAGAACAUGGAUGAGCAUCUCUCCUAUAAAGAAAGGUUGAGAGAUGUGGAGGUCUUCAGCUUGGAGAAGAGAAGGCACUGGGGAGAUAUUACCACAAAGUGGUAAAAAAAAAGCCAAUGUGUGUGUGGAAGGUGUCAAGCUAUGUAAUGAACAGUAUUUUAAAAAGAUGGAGUUUGAAGAAACUGUUUGGUUUUGAAGGCAGCACGAGGCAAAUUUUUCUGCCUUUGCAGAGCUGUUGAAAGACAAGAAGUGUUAUAUUUGUCUAAGAAGAUAAGAAAACUAAAUUUACUGGGAAUUUCAGAAUUGUAUCCACUUGUGAAGCGUCAAGGAACAGUUAACAUUCAAGGGCUGGUACUGCCUUGAAAUGACCUCACUACCUACCAGUUACCAAGAGAGAAGCCAAUGUUCUGAGAGCUGCAGAAUCUUGGCAUGGAGAGAAUUACUUAUUGCCAGAAGGAAUGCAUUGACUCAGCCUAUUUCAUGGCAGCACUUUUAAGGGGAGGAAGGAGGAAAGUAGUCAAUGAAAUAAAGCUUUGACUACACAGAGACUUUGUAAAAUGAUAACAUAUGAAUAAACAUCUCUGCUUAUCUCAGUGUAUGAAGUUUUAUACCAGCAUAAAACUGAUUGCACUAGCAAGGCUUAUUUCCAUAAUGAGAAGGAAGAAAGAUGGAGGAGAAGCUGUGCAAAAAGAUCCUGACCCUGAGUAAGGAACAAUCCCUUCACCAAUUACUGAAUAUCGCUAUAAAGAAGGUGGGGGGGAGCAAUUUGAAUCCUAGUAUUAGUUAGUCCUUUUGUUUGAUAGCAUGUAAUGAUUACUAUCACCUUUCCUGUGCUUCAGUCAAUGCAAAAUACACAGUAUUUUAUGAACUAUAAAAAAUUCUUCAGGUGUUUUAACAUCAUGCUGAAAUUAUGCCUAGGCAGUCUAUUCAAUUUAGUCUUAAUAACUAACUAAAAACUGUCAUAUUCAACAAACAGUAAAAAGGAAUUAGAUUGUUCAUAAACACAGUAAAAUUCUGCCUGUGCCUUCUACUAAUAAAAACCUUAUUCCUUCUAUCAACUGGAAUCUCAUGCAAAAUAGCCUGUGGCAAUAUAUAAUUCUUACUCAAAUGGUACAAGGUCUUCCUAGAAAUUUUUUUUGAAGCACACAUAUGAACAGCCAAUUAAGCACAGUAAGGUCUCUAAAUAUGAGCACAAUUCCUAGAAAUUUACUGAGGCAGACCACUGGCCAGACUGCUUCAGUCCUCAAGUAUUCCACUUUAUUAUUUUUUACCGAAUCACUGUUUUUGUUAUACCAUGAAAAAUGAAGAAAAGCUUCUUCCUUCAUAUUUUUAAUUUGUUUUGUCCUAAUCCACUCCGAUUUCAAUAUGCCACUGCACAUGGCACUUUCUUCCCCCAUCAUUAUUCACACUUCUUGUAAGUCAGAGAUAUGGGAUGAUAUGGAAAGGAUUUUAAAUAUGUAUAUAUCAAAUUCCUUCCUUCUCAAUGGAGACUCCACAAAAUAGACACUCAAUAGCAAAACAUUUCUGUGCACUGAAACACUGAAAAGAGCUUAGGCAGUACAAUUUGAGCAAUGCUGAGCAAACAUGCAGUUUGAGAUAAGCGCUCAGUGCAUGUUUAUCCACACCACUUGCUGCUUUUGAAGUGCUCUGUGUGCUGUGACAUUCCCUGUCACAACUGCUGCGUGCUGAACACAUGUAGCUACACUUCUGAUCAACUGAACUGGACUACUUGGUUUCUUCAAGAUUUACUCUUCCUCCUUUUACUCUGAACAUGCCAAACAACUGGAAAUUGGCAAGCAGACCACUGUCACUUUAUUGACAGUUGGAAGAAUCUACAGCUCUUCAAGAAAAUUUUGUAUUUAGCCCUUCUGAAAAGUAUCCAUGUGCUCAUAGUGCUACUAAGUACAAAAGCAUUACACAGAAUCCAAAAGCAUGUAGCUCCUACACAGAAGCCACCCUACAACUUCUAGAGCUUUAUAAAAUCUAUGUGGUAUAGGACCCAGCUACAGAGAUUUCCCAUCACUAACACUGCAGAUAACACCUAUUCCUUGGGGAACACACAUUAUCGUAUCUCCCAGUGUUUUAAGGUGAAAUAUUUACUAGCUUUCAUAGUAAAAAAAAGUACUUUCUGCAGAAUGGCAUGGAGAAUCAGAU